AAGCAUAUCAGUAAGCGGAGGAAAAGAAACUAACCAGGAUUCCCUUAGUAACGGCGAGUGAACAGGGAUUAGCCCAGCACCGAAGCCUAUCUGCGUUUGUGGACAGGGCAAUGUGGUGUUUAGGUGUUUGCCUGGGGUCGUCGUCGCACUCGAAAUCCAGCAUUGAUUAUGGUCUUGGAUGUGGCCCAGAGCGGGUGAAAGACCCUUUCGAGUGUGAUUGCAGACAUGCCGACGGCCCUUAGCUGCAGACUACCUUGGAGUCGGAUAGCUUGAGAAUGCUGUCCAAAGUGGGUGGUAAACUCCAUCCAAGGCUAAAUACUAACACGAAUCCGAUAGUAGACAAGUACCGUGAGGGAAAGUUGAAAAGUACUCUGAAGAGAGAGUAAAUAGUACGUGAAACCGCUUGCAGGGAAGCUGGUGGAGUCAAGCUGCAUGCCUGUGGAGUUCAGCCGGUGACGAUUGGAGAUGACGCUUUGAUGAGUGCUUGGGUUGGCAGUUUCCAUGCUGCUUCAUGCUCGUUGUGGGAUUCUCGCAUGGGCCAAGUACUGUGUUCUGACGUCGCCGGUGUACUCUCCGCAUGGCAGACAUCACGGCCGAUAUGGUUGCUGGUGUGCAGUAGUUAAACCUGUGGUUCGCGGGCUCUCUGGCACGCGGCUGCAGGGAUGGCAGGUGCUUCGGUGUUUCUCCUCUGGAGUGGCAUUGAAGUUAUCGAGGUUGCGACCGGCCGACUACUGUGUGAUUCGUUCAAACCAUGCGACUUAUCGGUGUUAAUGGCUGCGCGCUGCUUUGCGUGCGUGCGCUGAUGGACUCCCGGGUUUGGUGCCUAUGCAAAUAGUGCCUGUCCGGUUGAUGACUGUCGGUGCGCGUUCCGCAUGGCGGUGUGUGUAAGCUGUGGUGUUGUGGUAGACUUUCCACCCGACCC
rnacentral:rRNA from 1 species